rfam:Cyanothece sp. PCC 7424, complete genome.
GGGGCCGUAACGGUUUCGACAGGUUGGCGAAAGCUCCCCCGUGAUUCAGGCCGAGAGUGAGUCUUCUCUCGUAAAUACCGGGCUCAAACAAAAUGUAACUGCGAACAACAUCGUUCCUUUUGCUCGUAAAGCUGCUCCUGUAGCUGCUUAAUAGCCACUAACAAAGGCCGAGCGUUCGUAGUCCGACUCCGUUAAGGGCUACGGAUAAACCCCAACGGAUGCUCCCUCUAGCUGCGUCUGGUCAGCUAUUGGGUUAAGAGUUACCAGAAAUUCUUAGUCAUUCGGAACAAGUAAUGACUCCUGCUCUGAGGGUAAGAUGAGCUAUGCCUGUGAAUGAGCGGACAGUAAAUACCCAGUCUGGACAGCAGUUCGACUCUGCUCGGCUCCAUUU